GACGAACGCUGGCGGCGUGCUUAACACAUGCAAGUCGAACGAUGAAGAAAAGAAUCGAAGCUUCGGCAGAAAUUCAUUUCGGAUUAGUGGCAGACGGGUGAGUAACGCGUGAGCAACCUACCUCUUACAAAGGGAUAGCCUCGGGAAACCGGGAUUAAUACCAUAUAACAUUGCGACGAAGCAUUUCGAUGCAAUCAAGGCUACGGCGGUAAGAGAUGGGCUCGCGUCCCAUUAACCGGAUGGUGAGGUAACGGCUCACCAUAGUGACGAUGGGUAACCGGCCUGAGAGGGUGAACGGUCACACUGGAACUGAGACACGGUCCAGACUCCUACGGGAGGCAGCAGUGGGGAAUAUUGCACAAUGGAGGGAACUCUGAUGCAGCGACGCCGCGUGAGUGAUGAAGGAAUUCGUUUCGUAAAACUCUGUUCUAUGGGAAGAAAAGGACUGUACCAUAGGAGAAAGCUCCGGCUAAAUACGUG
rnacentral:rRNA from 1 species